UACGGAGGUGGCAAGCGUUGCUCGGAUUCAUUGGGCGUAAAGGGUGCGUAGGCGGUCGUGCAAGUCGGAUGUGAAAUCUCAGGGCUCAACCCUGAAACUGCAUUCGAUACUGCGCGGCUAGAGUGCUGGAGGGGAGACUGGAAUUUACGGUGUAGCAGUGAAAUGCGUAGAUAUCGUAAGGAAGACCAGUGGCGAAGGCGAGUCUCUGGACAGCAACUGACGCUGAGGCACGAAGGCCAGGGGAGCAAACGGG
rnacentral:rRNA from 1 species